UACGAAGGGGGCGAGCGUUGUUCGGAAUUACUGGGCGUAAAGGGCGCGUAGGCGGCGAACCAAGUCAGAUGUGAAAGUCCUGGGCUUAACCUGGGGACUGCAUUUGAUACUGGUUUGCUUGAAUUCGGGAGAGGAUAGCGGAAUUCCCAGUGUAGAGGUGAAAUUCGUAGAUAUUGGGAAGAACACCGGUGGCGAAGGCGGCUAUCUGGACCGACAUUGACGCUGAGGCGCGAAAGCGUGGGGAGCAA
rnacentral:rRNA from 1 species